UUAUAUUUAAACAAAAUACUUUAAGGUUUCAUUUGUUGGUUGUGGGAAUUCCGAGGAAGAGAAGAUUGCGUUUAAUUAUGGAAGAGAGCUGUUUGUUUAUCCGUACAGAGGGGUCAGGAAAGGUCAGGAGGCCAAGGUCCUAGAUAAACGGGUAUAUAAAGGAACAUCACCGACCUCUCAUGAUUUCGGACCUCCUGGUUGUCUUAGGACGGAGAAACCGGAA